rnacentral:rRNA from 1 species
AUACGAAGGGAGCUAGCGUUGUUCGGAAUUACUGGGCGUAAAGGGCGCGUAGGCGGUCCGAUUAGUCAGAUGUGAAAGCCCUGGGCUUAACCCGGGAACUGCGUUUGAUACUGUCGGGCUUGAAUUCGGGAGAGGUAAGUGGAAUUCCCAGUGUAGAGGUGAAAUUCGUAGAGAUUGGGAAGAACAUCCGUGGCGAAGGCGGCUUACUGGACCGACAUUGACGCUGAGGCGCGAAAGCGUGGGGAGC